UGGCUUCUGGCAUCUCCAGAAUUCCCACCAACCUCCAGCCAUGAAGAUCUUCUGCCUCCUCUCUGUUGCCGUCCUCCUCCUGAUGCUGCUGGCUCCAGAUUUCACCAGCGGCCAAUAUCAUUGGUGUCAAAACGAAUGUAGAAAGAAAGGGGGGGAAUUGGAAAGAUGCGCUCGACCCCGAAAGGUGCUUUAUUACUGUGGUCGAUAUCCUUGUUGCCGUUAAGGACAUUAACUCUGCCAACCUCUGGUGCAAGACCUCUGGUGAAAGGAAGACCCCCCCCCCUGCUCUCCUCUGAUGUGCAGAUGCUUCAACUGCACCCCCCAUCUCUGCUGGGGAAGAAACCGCUUUGCUUGAUGCUGCUGAAGGCGAUUCUGGGAAG